rnacentral:ncRNA from 1 species
AAAGAUAGAGGCGCGCCUCGGAAAAAGUACUGCCCGCAAAAAAGUUGCCGAAACUGGGCAGGAAAGGUCCUGGCGCCGAAGCGGAUGCCGUGGCGGGCAUCUUGGCUGGCAGCCCGGAGAAUAUCCGUUCUGCUGUCGCAGGUUCUGCGGAGGGCUAUC